rnacentral:lncRNA from 1 species
GAUUUUCCUAUAGAAACAAAGAAAAUGCAAACCGGAGAUCCCUCGGCUUGCGUGCAAAAAUCUGUGAGCGUGUCUAAUGAACAGGAGCAUAAGCCUGCAACCAUUUUGGACCGAAUCUCUGUGAGUAUAUCUAUGUCUAUAAUGUGGUUUGGGUUUCAUUAAUGGUCAUUUUCUCUUAUCAAGACAUUAUAGAUGCGUGUGCUAUCAGUAAUCUAAGCUUCCUUUUCCCUUCCCUGCCUUUGGACAUGAUUCAGGCAAAGAAGAAUCGAUCUAUGGGAUCCAUUGAUUUUGAUUCUGAUGAUGAGUAAGUAUUGCUAACUUCAUUCACACAACACAUAUUUUCACAUAAAAUGGGCUUAUGGUAUGUUAUUAUAUUAAUUUUUCAUCCUUCUACCAUGAAAAUUGUCUACCAUAUUCUUGAGACCAUUACUGAGUAGAUGAGCUUUAAUUCGUUUAGGUUUUCCAUUGAAGAGCAAAUAUGAAAUGCGUUAGACAUAAGUCUUAGUUGGUCUAACUAAUGCCAGCAUGCAUUAUAUGCAUGCAUGAGAGUUAGAUGGAGAAGUGACCAUUAUAGAAUAACUUUGAAUCCUUAAAUAUGAGGAGAAAGAUGUUAUAUUUGGAUGAAUUCUUUUUUUCUGUUGUUUUAUAUUGUUCAAAAGAAGAAGAAAACAUUCCAAGUUAAACAAGGCAAAAUAGAUGUAUAAGCAAUAAAUUUUGGGACCUUAUUUGAAAAGGUACUAAUAGUUCAUCGUCCCCUUUAUCCGAAGUAUUGAUUGGGGUUUCUAAUUAUGUUAUCCUUUUUUUUUGUCAUUUAGUUCUUAUGAUAGUGAAGAAAUGUAAGUGAGGUUCAUUUGAAUGGAAUUUUGGUGCCUAAAUGCAAUUAAUUCAAAUAUUUAGAUUCUAUCACACAUAAGAAUGAAGCUCCAGAUGAGGAUAUACCCAGAUAUUAAUACAAGAUGGAUAAAUUGGAUGAGUAUAAUGGAUAUAAUAUGCAAUUCUAAGAUCCAUAACUAAGUGUUCUAUAGGAAUGUGGUUAGACCAUUAUGUUGCAUGGACUGAAUAUUAGGCAUCUAAAGUAUAACAUAUCCAGAAUGAGUUUGACAGAAAUUCAGAUGAGGUAGAUGUCUCGUAACAUGAUGAUAAAUAAGCUCAGGAAUAAUCACAUUCAACAAAUAAUAGAUGUAACAUAUGUUGUGGUUUGAUCAU